UACGUAGGAGGCAAGCGUUGUCCGGAAUUACUGGGCGUAAAGCGCGUGUAGGUGGUGGGACAAGUCUGCUGUGAAAGCGCCUGGCUUAACCGGGCGAGGUCGGCGGAAACUGUCCGACUCGAGGACGGUAGAGGGGGGUGGAAUUCCCGGUGUAGUGGUGAAAUGCGUAGAGAUCGGGAGGAACACCUGUGGCGAAAGCGGCUCACUGGACCACAACUGACGCUGAUGCGCGAAAGCUAGGGGAGCAAACAGG
rnacentral:rRNA from 1 species